AUAUUUCUUACUCGAGCAAAUGUGCAAGAAUUUUGGAAUACAUACGGAAAUUUUUAAUUCAUUUUCAGGACUAGCAAUUCGAAGCUUUUCUGAUGAAACAUCGAUGACAUUUUUUACAACAAACAUAAAUGGAAAUCGUACAUAAGUCAACGAAAAUUAGAAGAUGAGGUUAUUUUGCCAGAAAGGAAAUUGCCCUCGCUUACGUAAUAUACAUACAUUAAGAUCUCUACGAUAAUACGGAUUCGCAUAACUCGACAUAUUUUUCGAAUGUAACUAUAUCGUGUUAUACGAGGGUACCUGUAUUCCGUCUUUGAAACCUUAAAUGCAAAUGUAAUAUUGAGAACGUAUAUUGUCUUUAAAACCUUAAAUGCAAAUGUAUAUAUCAUAAAUGUAUAUUGAUAAAAAUUCGUUGGAAUUGAUCAAUUUUGCUUCUGAUUAACUUAAUUAAAUAAAUAAAUCGUCUGCUAAAAAAGACAUUAAAAUAUUUUACACACUAAAUCGCUUUUGAAAGUAUGGAAAGUAAAAUUUCUACGUUCCAUCUCUGAAAAGUUAAAUAGUAAUCUAAAUUCAUACUGAUAAAAUUAAAACGUUCUUUAAAAAUUUGCCGCAAUUGAUCAAUUUCGCUUCAAACUGACUUAAUCAAAUAGAUAAAUGAAUCAUCUAAUUAUACAGACAAUAAAAUUUUCAUGUACUAUAUCGGUUUUGCAAGUAUGAAAAAUAAAAUUCGCGCGCAAUUGAAUCUAAUCGAUA